AGUGCUGUAAGUGUUCUGUGGAGACAGUCGUUCAAAAUAUGUAUGAUUUAACAUUUUGGUGAAAUAAACUUGUUGGCUGUGACAGGCAUCUUAGAGGAUUACUUCAUUAAUUAAGUAAUGAGUGCAUCUGCCACUUGAAAGGAGUAUUUUCAUGGGUAACAGGACCAUAUUCAUACGUAUUAAUAAAACAUAUUUUUUCAGACUGAAUCAGUAUAGACUCAAAAAUAACAGCUGUAAGGUUCUGGCUCCAACUAACAGCUCUGCCUGCUCUCAGCUGUGGGACCUGAGUGAUAAUGUCCUUAAAGAUUCAGGAGUGAAGCUGUUCUCUGCAGUGUUGGGGAAUCCCCACUGUAAACUGGAGACUCUGAGACAAAUGCUGUGAUGCUCUGGAUUCCACUAUCGGCUCAGAUGCUCACCUCAGAGGGUUGCACCUGCGUUACAGUGACCUGCAGGAUUCAGGAAGCUGCUCAGUGCUGCACUGGAGAAUCCACACUGUGAACUGGGGAUACUGAGAUGCCCCACAACUGCUGGACCCCACGACCCUGCUUAACCCCCAGUCCACGCUAGCGCUGAACAGAGUAGUAGCAAGAACACAUCCCUGGCGAACCCCAGAAUCAACUGCGAAGAACACAGAGGUUCUCCC